ACUCCUACGGGAGGCAGCAGUGGGGAAUAUUGCACAAUGGGCGCAAGCCUGAUGCAGCCAUGCCGCGUGUAUGAAGAAGGACCAGUUCCGGGUUUGUGAAAUGUAACUUUCAGUCAGUGAGGAAGGUGGGUAUGUUAAUAGCAUACUCAUUUGACGUUAGCUGCAGAAGAAGCACCGGCUAACUCCGUGCCAGCAGCCGCGGUAAUACGGAGGGUGCGAGCGUUAAUCGGAAUUACUGGGCGUAAAGCGCAUGCA
rnacentral:rRNA from 1 species